GGAGAUUAGAGGCCUGGAGAGAGAGAGAGAGAGAAAGAGCUCGCUGGAAAACGAAAGAUAAGCCGAAAGAGGUGAACAGGAACACUUGUCACUGCAGAUGUUGGCCUUGAUUUCGGCGAGAGGGAGGGAAGAUGUUCACGAGUGUGGCUGGACAUAAUGCAGCGGCCAAAUGUUAUCUCCAAGGCUCUCCUGAAGAUGGACUCACUCCAGGGCUGUUUUUCCAAUUACAGAGUUCCCUCUGCAAUCAAGGUCAUCACAAUUAGCUUCUCCCAGUCAAAAGCACAGAAUAGUGGAUGCGACUGUGCCAGUGACCGCUGGAUUGUCUUUGCAGCCCACUCAAGUGGCUAUUUCAUGGCUGCAGGCAAAUGCAUUAGAAGAAACCUGAAGAUUAGCUGUGGGCGAACUGAAAAGACAUCUUGGAAAGAGAAAAGGCUUUCAAAAUCAAUAUUAGCUAGCAUCUAUUAUGCACUCAGCAGCGGGUUGUAGAGUUUUGUAUGGUGGCGCUGAUGGAAAAUGGAGGGUGCUGUGUGGACUCUGCAUUUCUCUAUUAUCACCAUUACAGAUAAACUCUAAAUGGAUGUACUCAGAACUAUAUAAAGAGGGUGUGGCCAAAGAUUUCAUUGGUGCUUUGUUACCAUUGCAAGAUUUCAGAUGCAACCCAGUCAGUUCGUCCAAGGCACCAAACACUGGCACGUGACCAGACAACCACAUAUUGUGUGUACUUUCAAGACUAGGAGUUUAUUGUUUUCAUUCCAGGUCACCACAGCCACCCAGAUCCGGUCUGUAUCCAGAUCAGGUGGUGGUUUAGCACCUAGAGACUACCUCGACAGCCCUGAAUGUCUGCAGAGACCACGUCAGCAAGAUGAGCCCCAGAGACAGAUCCCCUCCAAAGAGCUCACUGGCCAUCAGGACAAGACAACGAGAACCAGACAAGUCCUCUGCUCAAUUUGACCUGUGUUGCAGCUUAGAAUCAAACCACACCAUGCUGUUUUUUUCUGGCCAGAGGAGAACUGCCCCCUGCUGUGCCUGGUUCCUCCCAAGGUUUUCUAUUCAACUGCUGUCACUGAUCGAGUUUUGGGUCCUUGCCACUGUCACCUUUGGCUUGCUUAUUUGGGGAUGCUUGACUGAUUGCACAGACACUAUUUGAAGAGAGCUGAACUGGA
ensembl:lncRNA